UACGUAGGGCCCAAGCGUUAUCCGGAAUCACUGGGCGUAAGGCGUGCGUAGGUGGCGUGUUAAGUGUGAUGUUAAAUCGUGUGGCUCAACCAUAUCGAUGUGUCGCAUACUGGCAUGCUAGAGGGAAGCAGAGGCAAGUGGAAUUUGUAGUGUAGCAGUGAAAUGCGUAGAUAUUACAAGGAACACCAAUGGCGAAGGCAGCUUGCUGGGCUUCUUCUGACACUGAGGUACGAAAGCAUGGGGAGCGAACAGG
rnacentral:rRNA from 1 species